GUGAACGCUGGCGGUAGGCCUAACACAUGCAAGUCGAACGGCAGCACAGCAAGAGCUUGCUCUUACGGGUGGCGAGUGGCGGACGGGUGAGGAAUACAUCGGAAUCUACUUUUUCGUGGGGGAUAACGUAGGGAAACUUACGCUAAUACCGCAUACGACCUACGGGUGAAAGCAGGGGAUCUUCGGACCUUGCGCGAUUGAAUGAGCCGAUGUCGGAUUAGCUAGUUGGCGGGGUAAAGGCCCACCAAGGCGACGAUCCGUAGCUGGUCUGAGAGGAUGAUCAGCCACACUGGAACUGAGACACGGUCCAGGCUCCUACGGGAGGCAGCAGUGGGGAAUAUUGGACAAUGGGCGCAAGCCUGAUCCAGCCAUACCGCGUGGGUGAAGAAGGCCUUCGGGUUGUAAAGCCCUUUUGUUGGGAAAGAAAAGCAGCAGGUUAAUACCCCGCUGUUCUGACGGUACCCAAAGAAUAAGCACCGGCUAACUUCGUG
rnacentral:rRNA from 1 species